rnacentral:rRNA from 1 species
UACGUAGGGGGCAAGCGUUGUCCGGAUUUACUGGGCGUAAAGAGCGUGUAGGCGGCCAAACAGGUCCGUUGUGAAAACUCGAGGCUCAACCUCGAGAGGUCGGUGGAAACCAUCCAGCUAGAGUCCGGAAGAGGAGAAUGGAAUUCCUGGUGUAGCGGUGAAAUGCGCAGAUAUCAGGAAGAACACGCGUGGCGAAGGCGGUUCUCUGGGACGGUACUGACGCUGAGACGCGAAAGCGUGGGGAGCGAACAGG